GAACAAUGUGGUUAUAUCUUGGAAGCAUCCUGAUGUGUAGCAAUUAAUGGCACCUCAGUGGGGUCCUCCACAGUGUGGCUCACACAUUUAUUGACAGCCUAAAACGUGCCAAGCUCUGUAGACAGAGAGUGAAAGCUCAGUAGAAGGCAGUGGUUAGAGGCACACACCCUAGACUCAGAUGCGGGAUGAAAUCCUGGGUCAGCCCUUAACAGGUUACGUGGCCUGCAUCCAUACAAUCUGUACAGUGGCCUCCAGAGAGCAUCCCCUCACUGUGGAGUGAGGAUGAAAGGGGAGUGUGCCGAUUAAAUGCCCCACAUGGCUCCGGUUCAUGAGGAGCAGUUCAAACAUCAGAGAUUUUUAU
rnacentral:lncRNA from 1 species